CCUCAUCAGUGUGUGUAUCUGGGUGCCCAAACUUUUUUCAAAGUGAACAUGUGUGAGGGCCGGCCAAAGUUGUUGAGCUUUUUACAAUUUCCCCCCAAAGUUGUUCAGCUUUUUUAGGAUUGACGUUUACCUUGAAGUUGCUGGGCUUUUUUUUAAAGGAUUUUACCCCAGGACAUAUACUCCCACGGGGGCUGGAUUAAAUUGAUCAGCGGGCUGGAUUAGGCCCCCGAAAUGGACUUUGCACAUGCCUGAUGUAAGUAGCAGCAGCAGCAGCUGGGAUCUCCUCCUCCAAACACUGUAGCUACCCCAUUUUGGAUGUGGUGAAACUGGGCAUCUUUCCCAUUUCAUUCUAGCUUCCAGAUUGAAAAUUGGAAAUCCUUUAAUGUAUAGUGAGAAUUUCCCCAGGAAGUGAUACUUGAAGCACUGAUUAUUUCGCAGUGAGAGCCAUUGCAAGAAUUAAUCUAUGAGGCUCCUUAUAUCAGGUCAGUGUUUUUGUCCAUCUAGCCCAGUAUUGCCUGCUCUCCUGAAUAUCAGGCAGAGAUUCCUCCCCUCACCUGCUACAUCACCCAUUUAACUGGAGGUACCGAGGAUUGAACCUGGACCAUCUGUAUGCAAAGCAUGUGCUCUACCACUAAAAUAUUAUCUCUCCCCAAUUACGGCUGUUUAGUAUACAGUACAACUACUGAGAUGCCUUUCCUAUCACAAGCAUUAUUGGUAACACUGUAGUACAGAAUCAGCAUCCUUCUAAGUGCCUAUCUGUUGAGCUGCACAGUGGUACCUUGGUUCUCAAACUUAAUCCAUUUCGGGAGUCGGUUUGACUCCCGAAACCAGUGCUUUUUUCUGGGGGGAUGCAGGGGUACGCAUACCCCUAAACAUUUUGUGAAUCUAAGUUUGGCCUCAUUGAGGGGCAGUAUUUCAAUAUCAGUAGAAAAAUGAGAGUACCCCUAAACAAUUUUUGAGAAAAAAGCACUGCCCAAAAACAUUCGAAAACCAAGGCACAACUUCUGAUUGGAUGAAGGAGCUUCCUGCACUCAAGAGGAAGCCGUGCCGGACGUUCGGCUUCCAAAAAACAUUCGCAAACCAGAACUUUUACUUCCUGGUUUGCGGCGUUCGGGAGCCGAUUUGUUCAGAAGCCAAGUCAUUUGAGUACCAAGGUACCACUGUAGUUGAAAUGAGGCUGUCUUGUGUUGUGUUGUGUAGUCUAGUUUCUUGUAUUCCCACCUCUGACAUGCUUCAUAGCUAGCUUGACAUGCUCCCAUUUUGCUUCACAGAUUUUGCCCCAGGCUUGCUGCCUGGGAGAUGGGCACCAAUUCACUUCUAACCUGAAAGAGCUCUAUGUGUCAGUGUCCCAAAAGCAGGCUAGGGCAGCUUGCAAACGGCACUGGGAAGGUGAGUAAAUGAAUCAUGCAAUGGGAAGGAUGUGUCUACUGCAACAGUACUCUUGUGAAGAUAGGAAUACAUCUGGCAAUGACCAUAAACAGGAAUAAUCUUAACUUUGAUGUUUUUGAACUGCCACAAAAUAGCCAUGCAAUUUUCCUGAUGCAUCUCCAGAUGGGUUGCUUCUAGCUCAAAAAAAGAAAGAAAGCUAGUCUUACCCACAAGAGAGUGAAACAACCUCUUGAUGUGCCAUUUUUAUGUGUAUUAUUCUCUUGUACAUCUUUGCCAUUUCUCCUUGCAAUUGCUGCUCAUCUGUCUUAAGCACUGGCCACUCUGGCCAUUAUCGUUCAUGCUUUAGUACAGGGAUGAGGAACCUUUUUCAGCCCCAAAAUCACAUUCCUUUCUGGGCAGUCUUUCAAGGGCCACGUUCACAUGUAUUGCUCUGUUCACUUUUGCCUUUGGCUCCUGCCCACCACUGGCACGUAUCUUUGUACAAUAGGCUAGAAUCUAUACCAGGGGCUGCCAACCUUUUUCGACUUGUGAGCACAUUUUGAAUUUUGAAGAAAUACUGGGAGAGCCAGUCACAAAAUGACUGCUGUUGGAGGACAUAACAUAACACAAAAUUAGAGAGCCAACCACCCCCAACAACUUGAUGCUUACACAAUAUCGUAACUAAACACUGGAAGAACCUAUCGGGAGUGAACAUAGACCAUGGGUACCGAAAUGUGUGGGAACCCACACUACUAGAGAAGUUAACCAACAAACUCAAACUAACACAGGGACAAGCAAAGGAGGACGCAUUCACCUCGGUGCAUAGCUGUCAACGUUUCCCUUUUUUAAAGGGAAAUUCCCUUAUUCCGAAUAGGAUUCCUUGCAAGAAAAGGGAAAAGUUGACAGCUAUGCCCCGGUGUGGUUCCCCUUUAUCACAAACACAGCACAACGGGACAAUGACCUAUCCCCCCACAACAGCAUAAAAAUCAGUAUGGCUUGCCUGACCCAACAACCUAGCCCUCCCCCCAAAAAACAAGCCACACUGCAUUCAGCUGAAUGAAAUCAACCAAGCUUGGGAAUCCCUAACCCAGGCUUCCUCAACCUUGGCCCUCCAGAUGUUUUGAGACUACAAUUCCCAUCAUCCCUGACCAUUGGUCCUGCUAGCAAGGGAUUAUGCGAGUUGUAGGCCGAAAACAUUGGAGGGCCGAGGUUGAGGAAGCCUGCCCUAACGUCUCGCAUUAUCAAUAAUAAAUAAUACAUAAACAAAGGACCUACCCAUGUGAUGCUGACACAGCCCACCUAAACUAAUACAGUAAUAGGCAAUAGAAUAAAAGAACAAUACCCCCAUCUCUCUCUCCCCCACUUCUUCCCCCAAACUGCAAUAUGUCUAUGACAAAAGGGUCUCUCACCAAACAUAAACGAACUAUGAAAAAGACUAUGAAUUGAACGUGGAGACAAUAGAUGUACCUUUCCCUGUUUAUCUGUUUGCUUUCUAAAACAAAAACUCCUUCAUAAAAACUAAUUUUUUAAAAAGGAAUUUGCACAUUCUGCCCCAUAACCUCCUUUUUAGAAGAGCUAGAGACUUACUUUAAAAAAAAAAGAAAAAGUGAAAGCUCAGAGUCUGUUGCACCUGCCCAGGCGCACCAUUGGAAACCUUCACAGACACCAUGGUAAAGACCCCUAAUUUAUACACACUUGCACACCCUUCUCUAUACUCCAUGUAGGCAAGGAAGAGUCAAUCAGUGUACAAAGAGACAUUAAGGCCAGGCAAAAAGACUUGAUUUUCUGAAGGAAGGCCAGCAAGGGUUGUAGCCUGGGGAGGGAGUGUGGUCUGGAGAGAAGCCUGGAGAGCUGCAUUUGGCGUUAGACAUGGGGUUCUCCAUCCCUGCUUUAGUUAUUCCAAGGUUGGAUUGCCAUAAUGCACUCCAUAUGAUGCUGCCUUCAAAGUCUAUUCAGAAGCUUCAGCUAGUACAUAAUGCAGCUACUUGCCUGUUGAUUGGUGCCUAUCAGUAUGGUCCUAUAUCACCUGUUUUGAGGCAUCUGUGCUCAUGGGAGUAGCCAGGGGGCGGGGUGUAUGUGUGUGAAGCUGCCUCCCGCUUAAAUCAAGUAAAUAAUAAAAAUACUUAACUAACUGACCUAUCACAUUGCAGAUAGCUCAGUUCUGCCCCCCCCCAACAUAAAUCCUGUUCCUGCUAACAUAAAUCCUGGCUAUGCCCAUGUGCGAGCUACCUGCUUAUUUGAUUCAAGCCCCUAUUCAAAGUGCUGCUUUUUAACCCUUUAAAGCCCUCAAAUGCUCGGGUCCUGAUUAUCUUAGGGAAAGUCUCCUUCCCUAUGCUCUCUCUCCUGGCAGUUGAGGUCUUUACAAGGAUCAGUGUCUUUUCAGUGGCAGUCCUAAUUCUUUGGAAUUAUUCCAAAAAAGAGACACACAUAUUUUCCCCUUCUGUCCUUUAUGGAAGCCAAUAAAAAUUAUGUUUCAAAAAAUCUUCAAGGACUGAUUUCUUCUAUGACUGCUACUGUAUGUACUCUUGCUGACUUUUUAUUCUUUAUUCUUUUAUUGUUGAUACUUUUAAUUUUGUAAAAUACUAUGAAAUUUAAUGAGCAAAGCUAUACAUUUGGAUAACUAAAUAAAAUGUGGUCAUAUUUGCCUUCCCUACUGUUAGUGUUCCCCUGUACAUUUCAGUAUGGCCCAACCCCUUCCAGCUGUUUCCAUUUACAAGUUUUAAACUUAUGUAAGUGGUAUAGAGUGAGGAUGUGAAUUAUCUUCCUUAGAUGUUGGAGGGAGGAUAGACUUGUGGGUUAGUUGCUGCUGCUACCCCCAGAUCACAUGAAGCCAGAAGAGAUGGCCUCUUGUUAAACUAAAAUUAUCCUUUCCCGGGAUGCUACUGUUGUUACUCUACAGCUCUGUGAUCUUAGGGGGAAGGAUUUAUAUUUCUGUAUAGGUAGGUACCUAGGUAGAUAGGAGAUGUCAAUUUACAAACAUAUAUUUAUUUGAUUUCUAUCCCUUGCCCCUGCUCUUUCUUAUGUACAUUGGCCUACUGAAUUCCUCGCUCCCAUGCAUGUUGUUUUUAUUUGACACUAUCAGGAGACUGUGAGAGUCCUGAACAUGCCAGCUUCCAGGACCUUGCCCAGAAGGCUGCAGAUUUGCCAACUGAGGAGAAGAAGACUGAAUCGCAGUCAGCAGCUGCUCAGUGUACACAAGACACAGUGGUGAGAGGAGCCCCUCAGCGUACAUGUGGGAAUGGGCCAGGGAAGGGAUAGAUGUAUGAGGAUAUGAUUUGGGGUAACCAUGCCGUGAAUGUGGAUGGAGAGACACAGGAACUUUCCCAGAGAUCCUGAUGCAUCUACUGGAUUUUGCAGCUCUGUUAUGUUAUAUAGUGGUCUGCCAGCUCCACAGAGGUGUGGCGGAGUAAGCAAACCAUAGGUUGCCAGCCCGUGUAUGUCCUGCAAUCUCAGAAUAGAAAGGGGCAGGUGAAUGUCUACAGUUUGGCAACAAACACAAGAGAGUGUGAGGUACUGUUGCUCACCGCUUACUGAAUACCAGCUGUGGGUUGGGGGUGCGUGGCAAAAGGCUUGUCAAGGUAUAUUUGUAAUGUAAAUAGGAGAGGAGGAGAGCUCCCUAGCAGCAGAAGGCAUGGGAAAAGUGGUGUCUUUUUCUGACUCACCAGUGGUCCACCAAGUCCAGUGCUCUCUACUAUGACUGGCAAUGAUUCUCCAGGGUUCUUGGCCAAAGGUUUUCCCCAUUACUGCUACCUGAUGCCAGGGUUUAAAUCUGGGGAUCAUUUGCAUGCAGAGCAUGUGCUCUACCACUAAGCUAUGGUCCCUUCACUUAGACAUUUUAAAAUGUACAUCUGCCUUCAUCCUUCUGGCAGCAGUUUCAUAGGGAUUCAUACUGGGAGCCACAGGAGCUGUGCAGUCACCCAUCGAGGAUAUGACCAAGGAUGGCAGUGGAAACAUGUUAUGCUGGGGGAGAAAUGAAAUAGGAAAAGUGUUGGGAGGUAGGUUAAUAGAUUAGAAGGAGGAGGCUCUUCCAGGCAAGUGGAGUAACAUGCUGUUGGUAGAAGAAAGACUUAAAAGGGUAGAUGGGUUUUACAGAAUAAGGAGAAACUAAUGAGAAGGGGAGAAAACAGGAAUUGAAAGCAGACCUAAGGCCUAGUUUGCUGAAGCAGUAUGGUUGCCACUUUCAUAUUAUUCUAUCCCGCAGUGCUCCAGUGAUAUGUGAAGUAGCAAAGUCACAUGGGAAGAGAAGAUCAUGUACUGACCCUGCCAGCGCAUACAAAUUUUUGAAAGCUCAUAAAAUGAGGAUGGCAUUUGUGUGUGCGAGGAGUUAAGUCGUUUGCCAGUAGUGUUGUUAUAGGCACUAGGCAAUAAGUGUAUGUGACAUUCAUACAACUGCAUUCCAGACAGCAUUCCAGAUUGCAGUGACUGGGAGAGAGAAUUACAUUUCCCCAGUGAUUAUAUAUUGCAUUUUGAAUGCUAGAAAAAUAUGAUGUUCUAUCACAGCGGAGCUUCCUAAUGGAAAGGUGUCUAUCCCUGUUACAAAAGAGUAAAAAUUGCACGUGUAUAAAUAAGUGAAUAUAAGUUUGGCCAUGUGGAAAAACAAUAGUACUAAAAUGUCAGUGCAAAGCAAAAUCAAGAUUUGAUUUACUGCAUGAAAAAGAGUAACUAGAGAGUCCUUAGGAAUGUAGUUUUCAUAUAAACAAAGGGGAAAUGGCAUAGGCAAGGGGGUCUUGGUCAAUCCAAACCAUGCUUCACCAUCCCCUUACUGAGUGCCCUGCAUCAAGAGGACUAGCUGGUGUCUGGAGUAGGGACUUCCCUUGUUCACUGUGAGAUUGAUUAACUCAUGGAUGUCAUGUGGACUCCUCCAGCUUCUUUUUGCCCCAGAGAUAUAACCUUCAUAAGUUACAAAAGGCACAUUUAUCCCAUGACCAACAUUACCAAGUGCUACUGCCAGCUACUUGCUACUGUUCACAACCCAUGCAACAAAUGUAAGCUCUGUGUCUGGAUAGCCAAAUGCUCGAAGUGAAUAUACCAGAGAGAUCCUGUGUGGCUGUAAUUGUUUUUGUUUGUUCCUACUCAUGAAUUGAUUUGUUAACUGAUUGGUUCUAACUAUUGCCUCUUCUUUCCAGGUACCUUCCUCCCAGACCCAGAAGGUUCAUUUGCCCAUUGCCAAGAGCAAAAGGAAGAAGGCAAAAGGGCUAUUUGGCUGAUGCAAAUGACUCUUCCACAGAGACAGAAAUGCUGUUGUUGUAUUGAACUUCUCCCUCUUCCUGGAACAACUGGAAGAGAGAUGGACUUUUCUUCUCCAGAGUACAGCUAUGCCACUCUGUUCCUUCCCUCUCCCCUCUUUCUUGCCAUGUUGGGCACCAUAGUCGGGCAGUAUCCCCUUCCACACUACAGCUGUCUAUUGCCCUACCUCUGCUUAUUUUUUUCUUAUUUUCUGUAGCACAGAUACUAGCCUUGAAACUUGGAGAUGAUGCAUUCAAAGAAAAAGCAGGGAAAAGAAAGUGGACAGAGCAUGAACAGUGAUAGGAAUCCAAGACUGAUCGUUAUCUGGGCUUCUACUACACCUAUUCUGUCCAUAAAAUCUAUACCCCACUUUGUUAAUGUGUGUGUAAUGAAGUGUGUGUAAUGAAGACCUUGGAUAAAAAAGUUGGGCUUUCUGAUGCGGUGUCUUUUACCCAUGCACUAUACAAUGCAGCAUUGCCAGCAUCAAUCAGCUGAACCACAGCUUCUUUUUUCUACAAGCUUACAGCCUUCUUGGUGGUAGAUAAAUGUUUAAGAAGGAUGUGGACAUGGUCUAACAAAGGUGCAAAACCCAAAGCAGGGCAUGGGUUGGGGUUGUGUUGGUCUGUGUGAUUUGCAUGGUCUUUCUUCUGUCUCUGCACAGAAUCUAUGUCUCUUAAUCUGUGUUUUCCUUCCCUUCCACUCAGCACUUGCUUCCUCUCAUCCUUUGUUUAGUUCUACUCUUAUUUUUCACAAAAUAUACUGCAGAGGAUUAAAUUUUGAUGAAAUGAAGGUACAUUGUACUGAUUCAAGCAAAUUCACACAAACAUAAUUUUAGCCUGGGCUCCACUUUCCUUGAUGCAAACAUUUGCUUUUUUAAGGCACAGAAUAUGUUCUUCCCUAAAUAUCUAAUGUUCAGUCUGUGAAACCUUAGUCUUUUUACUGAUCCGACUUUUCCUGCCCUUAUAUCUAGAGAUAGGACAUAACCUUCUACCUUUACUUUUGCACAUAGGCAGUCCAAGGAAUGCUGGUGCCUGAGGUAGAAAAAUGAAACCUUCCCUAGUGGUAAUAAUAAUAAUAAUAAUAACAAUAAUAAUAAUAAUUUAAAUCUUUUGCUGCCUAUCAAUAUUCCAAAAAUUGCCAUAUACCAUGUCUAACAACAAGUUUAGAACUGCAGCAUCCAGAACUCGGAGCACAUAUGGGGUUCUCUCGGACUUUUUGUUUAAUAUCAUCAUGUUUGUAAGCUGAAGUUCCACACAUCCUGAAACUUUUUCUGCAACAUAGAUCUACACAACUUUGGACUUGCCCAGCUGAAUGACAUCUUUCAUCUGAGGAGCACAGGGCAGUUUAUAGUAUUUUUAAAAAUCACCUUUCUGCCCCAUACAAGUAUAAGGGCUCACUGAGAUCUCAGUACAUCUAUUGCUUUUGCUAUUUGAGACCACAAGAACAGUGGGGUGGUAUAGCACCUGACCUGGCAAUGAUAGCAUUAGGCUUCUGGGCUCUGUUUGGCUUGUGUGGUCAUGAGUUGUACAGGACUGUGCUGUAAACCCUUCUUACUUAUACAGUUCAUUACUACAUGGUCCUGUCUUCACUGGAGUACAGUUCUCUCCUUGCACUGACUUUUACUCCAUUCUUAUGCCCUUCUUCCACCCUUCAACCUGCAGAACUUCACUAUACCAAACCUCCAGAUUUUUAUAGCAAACAUUGUGUCAUUUGAUGCCCAUGAAGUCCUAGUGUUGUGAAAGGAAGCAGUUUACUGUAGCUGCAAAGCAGGUUUCUAACAUACUACCCCCUCAUACCUGCUUCCAGGAUCAAAAGGCGAAUAAAAACAGAUUGCUCUUGGCCAAAGGAAUUACAGGCUAUCAUUGCAAGCAAGCUGGAAAACCACAUCCUAGAGGCCAGAAGGGGAAGAGGCUUCUGCUAUAGCAAGUGAUGCUAAAGAAUUACCUUCCCCCAAAUGCUGUCCUGCCCACUUUGGCUGUCAGUCAAGUAGUGCUCAUGCUGUCCUGCUGGGCCACACCCAAUAGCCACAGAACCAUUCACAAUGAAAUUAACUCCUCUGACCUUAGAGGGAAUUAAGCUAAAAAGUCUCUUCCUUUUCCUCCCCAGUGAAGCCAGAAUAGUUCAACUCUGCUGCCUGUUAACAAGAUACUGAUAUGAAAAAUGAAGAAAUAGUAGAUGCAGAGUUCUGGAAUUAUCUAAAGAUUCAUCCUAACAUAUUGGGGUUUGUCCACUGACAUAGUGCGACACAUUGUGCUAUGGUUCCCACUGCAGAAACAGAAGGACAAAAAGGUUUCAGUGAACUGAUUGGAGAGUCUUAAAUUGAUUAACCAGAACAGUACAGUUUUACAUUACUGAAUGUUUUUAAAAUGAAAUCUGGAGUUUAUGAAAUCUUGAAAUCUGGGGUCUUAAAUUCAUAUUUUGAACCAUAUAGAAUGAGUCAUUACAUAAUAUAUAACUUAAUGUUCUGGGAGGGCACAUGCUUUGCAUGCAAAAGAUCCUGUGUUCAAUCCCUGGUACCUCCAGAUAGAUUUGGAAAAUGCACCUGUCUGGAACCCUGGAUAGUCAGCCACUGCCUGCCAGUGUACAAUGUACUUGCAGUCAGUCUUAGCUCCCUAGUUUAUCUAACACUAAUUUUAUACUCUAACUUCAUACCCCUCCAUUUCUAUUGUUGACAUAUCUGUCUUUUUAAAGUAAUUAACAUGAUUAUGUUUAUUACAUCUGAAUAUAUAUUGGGGGAGGGGAAAAAUUGUUGAAACAUAGAGCCCCUCCAGAUGUCUUUUUUAUUGCACAUUCAUCAUGAUUUGCCCCCAAUGUGUUAAUGGUGAAGUUGUACAUGAUUGCACUUUCAAUAAUGCGCCUGUGAAUGUUCCAGGGUGAUUAAACUAGAUUAGUUGCAAUUGAUGCUUGUCCUGUGCUUUCUUGAUAACAAUUCUGUAACUUCUUGUACUACAAAACUACCAACUUCCUGUCUUCAUCCACGUGGGUAACACACAGCACAUAAAACUCCAAACAUAACAAACAAAACCCCAAGCCCUAAGCCUACAAUUUCAGGCAAAGGAAACAUGCCUGUAGGGGAAGUGUGCAAAGAUUUGUACUGAGACAGUAAGGGACAAAACUGCACAUCUCCUGAUACAAACUGAGGAGGCAAACAAACAUCUUUCCCCCCCUCCCCAAGAAGUCGGGGGCAGCUUGAAAGAGUGAACACUCUUGGGUGUGUAUCCUCAUUCCACUGUUAUCUUUGAUCCAAUAAGUUUGGCAGGCUUUUCAUUUUUGAAAAAUCCUGCACAAUCUGUUGGAACAUAAGCAACAAUGUGACAAAGGGGACAUGUUUGUACACCACAAGAAGCAAAGCCUCUUUCAAACCACUUUCAAUUCUCUUUAAAACAAUCAUCUGGCUCCUGUCUGAGGAUGUCCUAGAGGCUGUCAUUCCAAGCAAACACGCUACAGGCAACGGGCAGAAUGGGUGUGAGCUCUGUCUGCAGAACACAGUCCCUGAC
rnacentral:lncRNA from 1 species